CUUCUAAUUACUACCAAGGCCUGUCGUGUGUGUGUUAUAGUCCAAGUAGACCCGUGAAUUUGGGUUAUGGCAGGUUCUAUCUAAGUCUAACGUGUGUUGUUGCUUAUCUAGUCAGCUACUUUAGCUGUAAACGUGACAUUUUUUUUAUACAGGCUGACUCAUGCCAGCUACCGAAACGCGAGGAGGUUGCUUCUCAAACUGACAUGCGGUUAACUUGUAGAAGAGUAGAAGAGUGCUCACCUCAGGAGCAAAGAGUGGUGUCAAGGAAAACAGCUGCAUCCUCCAUCUGUACAGCAGCUGCACUGCUUCCGAUGUCUUCCAACACGUGAAGACAAAAAAGAUCCUCACAUCUCCCCAGCCAACUGCUCAUGACUGUACCUGUUCCACUCCAGAAACUAUGCUUUCAACAUAACUAUGAAUCCUACCCGUUCAUUUUGUGGUCUGCAAAUUGAACUGUGACGGUAACUUAUCCAGCAUUAUAGUGCUGGUGCAUUGGUUAAAAAAAAAGUUGGCUUUGACUA